GGUAAUAGCUCAGUUGGUAGAGCAGUCGCUUCCCAAGCCACAGGUCGCGAGUUCGAGUCUCGUUUAC
rnacentral:tRNA from 1 species